rnacentral:rRNA from 1 species
UACGUAGGGUCCGAGCGUUGUCCGGAAUUAUUGGGCGUAAAGAGCUCGUAGGCGGUUCGUCACGUCGGCUGUGAAAUCCCGAGGCUCAACCUCGGGUCUGCAGUCGAUACGGGCGGACUUGAGUACUGCAGGGGAGACUGGAAUUCCUGGUGUAGCGGUGAAAAUGCGCAGAUAUCAGGAGGAACACCGAUGGCGAAGGCAGAUCUCUGGGCCGUAACUGACGCUGAGGAGCGAAAGCGUGGGGGAGCGAACAGG